ensembl:lncRNA
UUUAGAACUGGCCAUGGCCUAUACAUGUCAUUGUCAGGCUUUUCACUGCUGCAUGUUUUUCACUAGGUUGGUGUACGAUUGGAGAAUGCUGAAACUCUUAUAGAGAGGGGUUUUGGGCCGAAAUCUUCUACUUUCAGUGACUAUUUUUUUGGAAACACUAACGAAGGAAACCACAAGGCAGAAACCCCAGUGGAAACAGUAGAGAAAGUCAAGCAGAGGAACCCAACAUUGAAGCGAUACAGCCCCACUGAUCAUCUUGUGAGCAAGUCUGGCAAGCCAAAGCUGAGAAAAACUAACCAAAUUUGUCUUGGUAGAAAAUACAGUAAGAUGAAUGAGUUAGUCAAAAAGUUCACUGAGAGAACAGUAAGAAAGAAGGCGCUGAAAUGUGAGCUAAGCAUGAAAAUCUUUGGAAAUGAACUUAGCUUCUUAGAUUGUGAAGAUUUAAGAAAACAUAUGAAACGUUAUUCCUUAAAUCUGGCUGAGUUGGCUGUCAAACUUCUGAAGGGGCAGGAGAUUCAGUUUAAUAAAAGGAUGAGUUUGGCCACUGAAGAACUGCAGUUUCCAGCAAUUUCAGGCUUUCCUAUUCAACUGGCAAUCAAUGCCUCAGCAGCAAUCAACAUAAAAAUCAAAGGGAAUGCAGAUUUCAAACAGCAGUCCAAUUUCUUUCUAAAUGGAUAUUUCAAGCCAAGUGCAUUUGUCCAGCUUUCUGUCCAAAUGGGAAUUGUGGGGACUCUGGGACAAGCUGGCCUAAAGUGGUUAACAGGAAUAAGAACAUCUACUAGUCUUGAUGGGGGAAUCCAGGUGAAGAAAGGGAAAGAGCUCAAAGUUUUCUUGAACACUCCAGAAGAAUCUAUGGAGAUAAUUAAUUUCAGCUCUAAACUCUACUUCAAAAUGGUGGAUGAGACAGAAGAUAUAGAUGUCUUCCAAGAUCACACAGAAACCAGAUCUUGCACUAGGGAGGAAGUGUCUGAGAUUAUUGGCUGGCAGCUGUGUUCUGAAAUGUCCUAUCCUGACCCGGCCAGUGGUUUGGUUUUCCCCCUCACUGGACCUUUGAGAGUGGCUGUGACAUUAACUAAGCAAGACAGAGGCCUGCAGCAGUACGUGGUGGAAGCUGCCUAUGACUGUAUAGCUCAGGAGAAUUCAUGGAUCCCAAGUGAAGCUGUCUUUCACUUCUUUGUUGGGACUCCAAAGUCAGACUUGAAAAGAGAUAUUGGUGUUGACAUAAGUUUUAGUGUCCCACAGAAGAAAUUCAGAAUCCAAUUUAUACAACCUAAGAAAAAAAUUGAGAUGGAUGGUAGGUUUUUCAACUAAGAGUCUGAUCACCAGCUAAUAUCAGUUUGGAGAACUUCAUUACAAUUAACUGAGAAAUAUCAGUAUAUUUCACUCACUAAUCUAAUACUGAGACUGCAUUAAUAUGUGAUAACUGUUCAUUUUACUGCUUUAGGUAGCACUCAUUCCCAAUGGAGUUUGCAUCUUGGUUAACACUAUAUUUUUGCACAGUCAGAAGUUCAGUACCUGGUUCAUAAAGUCGUAUUAGAGAAGAAAACUGUUACUGGGAUUGAUGAAAUGAGGGCUAAAGAACAUGGUGGAUUGUUCUGACAUCUUUUACAUAUGUUGAACUUGCCGUAUUGGUCCAAUUUGCUGUGUUCUGUUAGUUAUGAGAUGAAGUUAUGUGUUGCUAAAUCAAUGAAGUACUGACUAUGAUAGUGCCAUGCAUUGUAAUAAAAAAUAACAAUCACAGUGUAACA